GGUGCUGUCAUCCAGCGGUUAGGAUGCCUCCCUGUCUGGGAGGUCACGCGAGUUCGAUUCUCGCCGACAUCGCCA
rnacentral:tRNA from 3 species